rnacentral:rRNA from 1 species
CCUACGGGCGGCUGCAGUGGGGAAUAUUGGACAAUGGGCGAAAGCCUGAUCCAGCCAUGCCGCGUGUGUGAAGAAGGCCUUCGGGUUGUAAAGCACUUUCAGUGGGGAAGAAAGCCUUGGGGCUAAUACCCUCGAGGAAGGACAUCACCCACAGAAGAAGCACCGGCUAACUCCGUGCCAGCAGCCGCGGUAAUACGGAGGGUGCGAGCGUUAAUCGGAAUUACGGGGCGUAAAGCGCGCGUAGGCGGUCUGAUAAGCCGGUUGUGAAAGCCCCGGGCUCAACCUGGGAACGGCAUCCGGAACUGUCAGGCUAGAGUGCAGGAGAGGAAGGUAGAAUUCCCGGUGUAGCGGUGAAAUGCGUAGAGAUCGGGAGGAAUACCAGUGGCGAAGGCGGCCUUCUGGACUGACACUGACGCUGAGGUGCGAAAGCGUGGGUAGCAAACAGGAUUAGAUACCCCGGUAGUC